rnacentral:tRNA from 1 species
GCCCGGGUGGUGAAAUGGUAGACACAAGGGACUUAAAAUCCCUCGGCCGCAAGGUCAUGCGAGUUCGAGUCUCGCCCCGGGCACCA